rnacentral:rRNA from 1 species
UACGAAGGGGGCUAGCGUUGUUCGGAAUUACUGGGCGUAAAGCGCGUGUAGGCGGGUCUUUAAGUCAGGGGUGAAAUACCAAAGCUCAACUUUGGUGCUGCAUUUGAAACUGCAUUUCUUGAGGACUGACGGAGAAAGCGGAAUUCCAUGAGUAGCGGUGAAAUGCGUAGAUACAUGGAGGAACACCGGUGGCGAAAGCGGCUUUCUAGUUUUUACCUGACGCUGAGGCGCGAGAGCAAGGGGAGCAAACAGG